AAAAAGGCAAACCCUGAAUUUCCGUGUCCAACUUUGAUUGUCCGUCUUAUAUGAAAUUUUUUUAUAAUUCGUAUUUUCAUUGUUGUUAGAUGAUAAAAUAUGAUUAAUAUUUUAUACGUGACUUGUCUUUUUAAUUUUUUUUAUAAUUUUUUCAAAUAAGACGGACGGUCAAACAUUGAGCACGGAAACC
rnacentral:pre_miRNA from 1 species